rnacentral:rRNA from 1 species
UACAGAGGUCUCAAGCGUUGUUCGGAUUCAUUGGGCGUAAAGGGUGCGUAGGCGGCGCGGUAAGUCGGGUGUGAAAUCUCGGAGCUUAACUCCGAAACUGCAUUCGAUACUGCCGUGCUUGAGGACUGGAGAGGAGACUGGAAUUCAUGGUGUAGCAGUGAAAUGCGUAGAGAUCAUGAGGAAGACCAGUGGCGAAGGCGAAUCCCUGGAAAAUACCUGACACUGAGGCACGAAAGCUAGGGGAGCAAACAGG